GAGCCAGCUCAGCCCAGCGGUUCCAUCGACCAACGCGUUGCUUGGAUCCCCCCGAUCGCUUCCAGCGGUUUGAGACCCGCGGGCGCUGCCUGGCUUUUUU
ensembl:vault_RNA Vault Vault RNA